rnacentral:snRNA from 1 species
AUACUUACCUGGCAGGGGAGAUACCAUGAUCACGAAGGUGGUUUUCCCAGGGCGAGGCUCACCCAUUGCACUCCAGGUGUGUUGACCCCUGCGAUUUCCCCAAAUGUGGGAAACUCGACGGCGUAAUUUGUGGUAGUGGGGGACUGCGUUCACGCUCUCCUCUG